UUUAAAGUCUGACCUGCCCAAUGANNNNNNAAAUGGCCGCAGUAUCUUGACUGUGCAAAGGUAGCAUAAUCAUUAGUUUUUUAAAUGGAAGCUAGAAUGAAGGGUUUGAUAAAAAAAAAGCUGUCUCAAUCAAAAAUUUAGAAUUUUAUUUUUAAGUUAAAAAGCUUAAAUUUUUUAAAAAGACGAGAAGACCCUAUAGAGUUUAAUAAAUAAAAAUUUAAUUUAUAAAAAGAUUAAAAUUUAAUUAAAUUUGACUUUAUUUUAUUGGGGUGAUAAAAAAAUUUAACAAACUUUUUAAUUUUUAAACAUUUAUUAAUGAUUAGUUGAUCCUAUAUUUUAGAUUAAAAGAAAAAAUUACCUUAGGGAUAACAGCGUAAUUUUUUUGUAGAGUUCUUAUCGAUAAAAAAGAUUGCGACCUCGAUGUUGGAUUAAAGUAAAAUUUUGGUGUAGAAGCUAAAAGAUUAGGUCUGUUCGACCUUUAAAACUUUACA
rnacentral:rRNA from 1 species